rnacentral:rRNA from 1 species
CCCUUAGAUGUUCUGGGCCGCACGCGUGCUACACUGAGUGGAUCAGCGGGUCAGGUUGCGCGAAAGUGUUUCCUAAUCUUGAAAUCCGCUCGUGAUGGGGAUUGACGGUUGCAAUUUUCCGUCAUAAACGAGGAAUACCUUGUAAGCGCGGGUCAUCAUCCCGCGCUGAAUACGUCCCUGCCCUUUGUACACACCGCCCGUCGCUCCUACCGAUUGAGUGGUCCGGUGAGGCUUUGGGAUCUGAGCGGAAAGAGCGUUUCGCUGUUUCUGCUCGGAAAACUCAGUCGAACCUUAUCAUUUAGAGGAAGGAGAAGUCGUAACA